rnacentral:rRNA from 1 species
CCAGACUCCUACGGGAGGCAGCAGUGGGGGAUAUUGGACAAUGGGGGGAACCCUGAUCCAGCGACGCCGCGUGAGUGAAGAAGUAUUUCGGUAUGUAAAGCUCUGUCAGCAGGGAAGAAAGCAAUGACGGUACCUGACCAAGAAGCCCCGGCUAACUACGUGCCAGCAGCCGCGGUAAUACGUAGGGGGCAAGCGUUAUCCGGAAUUACUGGGUGUAAAGGGAGCGUAGACGGCUGUGCAAGUCUGGAGUGAAAGCCCGGGGCCCAACCCCGGAACUGCUCUGGAAACUGUGCGGCUAGAGUACUGGAGGGGCAGGCGGAAUUCCUAGUGUAGCGGUGAAAUGCGUAGAUAUUAGGAGGAACACCAGUGGCGAAGGCGGCCUGCUGGACAGUAACUGACGUUGAGGCUCGAAAGCGUGGGGAGCAAACAGGAUUAGAUACCCCUGUA